rnacentral:rRNA from 1 species
UACGGAGGGUGCGAGCGUUGUCCGGAAUCACUGGGCGUAAAGGGCGCGUAGGCGGCCUGAUAAGUAGGGGGGUGAAAUCCUGCGGCUUAACCGCAGGGCUGCCUUCUAAACUGUCGGGCUCGAGCACAGUAGAGGCAGGUGGAAUUCCCGGUGUAGCGGUGAAAUGCGUAGAUAUCUGGAGGAACACCGGUGGCGAAGGCGGCAUCCUGGACCGACACUGACGCUGAGGAGCGAAAGCCAGGGGAGCAAACGGG